GGUUAAAUAUGCAAAAGGUCCUUGCACUUACGAGUCAUUUGAGUUUUAGUCCCUGCAUUUUAAAAACAUUUCAUUUUGCCACUGCACUUUCAUUUUACUUUAAAAAAGGUCCCCAAACCUUUUUUUUUUUGUUGAAAUGACACACUUUUUCUGAUCUGUCACUGUUGGGUGGACUUUAGAGUUGAUGACUCAUUUAAUUUUGCAGUGAAUCGAUCAAAAUAUACUUAAAUAAGUAAUUUU
rnacentral:lncRNA from 1 species